UAAAAACUCGAGGUGAACGUAUGUUUUAGUUGUUUACUUCACAAAUCUUCAUUCAUAUCGAGAUUAUUCUCACUAGAUAAUAAGCUUUCAAAUUGGUAAUUUUUCAACUUUAAUACUAAUUGACAGUGACUUGUUUUCCAUAGGAGUAGCUGUAGACGUUGUAAUAGACACAGAAUGGCAUCAGCGAAGUCAUUUGAAACAGUUGAUACUAGAGUGAUUGUCGAAGAGGCACUAAAAGAAUUAAAAAAUAACAACUUAAUAGAAGAUUUCCAAAAGUAUGAGGCCAAAAUAAUGGAUGUAUUGGAAGAGGCAGCAAAAACGGAAGAAACAAUUACGAAAGAAAUGUUUAAUAUGGUUGACAAAAUAUCAGCCGAGGAUGUUGAAAAGAAAAUGUCACCAAUAAUUGGUCAGGAUCGGGUAGACUUGAUCAAGAAAGCUUUCAGCAUUGAAACAUACCAAAUGAAAUUGGUCAAAAAGUCAAAUGGCCAGACGGUUGUACAGGUACGUCGAGGUGGAGCAGACUUCAGACCAGAAAUAAAUCUGGCAACAAUUCAAGAUGUUGAAAUUGCAGAUGUAUUACAGUGGGCGAGCAUAGCAGUUGAAAUAUUUAUGUUGGUCUUAAGCUGUGUGGAUAUUGCUGUUGAUUUA